AGCAGCCGCGGUAAUUCCAGCUCCAAUAGCGUAUAUUAAAGUUGUUGCAGUUAAAAAGCUCGUAGUUGAAUUUCGAGACCGGUUUACUGGUCGUGCUUUUGUACGUACUGGUAUAAUCGGUUUCUCUUUUCUGACGAACUAUAAUGCCAUUAAUUUGGUGUUAUAGGGAAUCAGGACUGUUACUUUGAAAAAAUUAGAGUGUUUAAAGCAAGCUAACGCUUGAAUACAUUAGCAUGGAAUAAUGAAAUAGGACGUUCGAUCCUAUUUUGUUGGUUUCUAGGAUUGACGUAAUGAUUAAUAGGGAUAGUUGGGGGCAUUAGUAUUCAAUUGUCAGAGGUGAAAUUCUUGGAUUUAUUGAAGACUAACUACUGCGAAAGCAUUUGCCAAGGAUGUUUUCAUUAAUCAAGAACGAAAGUUAGGGGAUCGAAGACGAUCAGAUACCGUCGUAGUCUUAACCAUAAACUAUGCCGACUAGGGAAUCGGAU
rnacentral:rRNA from 1 species